GAUGAACGCUGGCGGCGUGCCUAAUACAUGCCAGUCGAGCGAACGGACGAGAAGCUUGCUUCUCUGAUGUUAGCGGCGCACGGGUGAGUAACACGUGGAUAACCUACCUAUAAGACUGGGAUAACUUCGGGAAACCGGCGCUAAUACCGGAUAAUAUUUUGAACCGCAUGGUUCAAAAGUGAAAGACGGUCUUGCUGUCACUUAUAGAUGGAUCCGCGCUGCAUUAGCUAGUUGGUAAGGUAACGGCUUACCAAGGCAACGAUGCAUAGCCGACGUGAGAGGCGGAUCGGCGACACUGGAACUGAGACGCGGUCAAUACUCCUACGGGAGGCAGCAGUAUGGAAUCGGCCGCAAUGGGCGAGAGUCUGACGGAGCAAGGCCGCGUGAGUUAUGAAGGUCUUCGGAUCGUAAAACUCGGUUAUUAGGUAAGAACAGAUGUGUAAGUAACUGUGCACAUCUUGACGGUACCGAAUCAGAAAGCAACGGCUAACUACGUG
rnacentral:rRNA from 1 species